rnacentral:ncRNA from 1 species
UAAACCGCUAUGAUUGGAAGUAGUAUGAUGAAAGAUCGCUUCAAGAGAGGGAGCCGUUUGCUGAAAGGUUUCUAAGUGUGUCCCAUCAGAAGUCGUCCAUGAGCAGUUUCCGUGAACAAUAAAAGUAGCGGAAACCGGCGAAAAGCCGUUAUCUAAUCUUUAAGAGCCGAGAAAAGGAUUGAACUCUUUUUUCGGAAAAAAGGUGGCACCGCGAACAACUUUCUUCGUCCUUUUG